UCCCUGGUGGCUCAGUUGGUAAAGUGUCUGCCUACAAUGUGGGAGACCCGGGUUCAAUCCCUGGGUUGGGAA
rnacentral:tRNA from 1 species